UUCUGCUUUGCGUCAUACCUACAGGUCUCUCGGGUCUCCUCUGAGUGCCACCAUCAUGAACAGCUUCUUAAGAAGCCAGCUGCUGCUGCUGGUGGUGGUGGUGCAUACCUUAUCCCAGCACUCAGGUGGCUGUCUGGGUUCGAGGCCAGCCUGGUCUACAGAGCAAGUUCCAGGACAGCCAAGACUACGAAGAGAAACCCUGUCCUGAAAAACUACAAAGAUCAAACAAACAAACAAAAAGAAAGAAAGGUAGGAAGGAAGGAGGGAAGGAAGGAAGGAAGGAAGGAAGGAAGGAAGGAAGGAAGGAAGGAAGGAAGGAAGGGAAGAAGGAAAGUCAAGAGAUUUGAUCGCAGAAGCAGAGCGCCACCUUUCCUCUUCAUGCUUUCUUUUUCAUGCUAUCCCACCUUCAACACCAUCCACCUUCCUGGCAGGUUUCAGAACUAUCUCGGCUGUGGAUUUUCUGUGGCAUGCAUGCUAGGCUGAGGAUGGAGCCCAGCGGAAUAGAGAGAGCUCAUCCAACAUUUGAUCCUCAGCACUGCCAAAAAGAAAGAAGAAAACAAUCGAACAAAAGAACGAUGACAGAACUCGAUUGAAGAGAGCUACACAAGACAGAGUAAGGGGCAUUGGACGUGACUGAUGCUAAAAUUUUAUUUAGGGUCAAUCUGUAGAACCAGAUGCAGCCCUGCCAUGGAACUGAGGGUGAAGAACUUAACGUUCCCUCAGUGAUAAGCAGGUUUCUUUAGCAGCAGCAUUCCUUAUUAGGACUAGGCAGUGAUAAUCCUGAAUUGAAUGUGUAGUUCCCCUGGUCCCCACCCCCGCAUCCCGCCCCAAGUGCCCCAGGACCCUGCCUCCCUCUGAAGGAAGAUUGCUCCUCCCCACUCUCUGCUCGGGAGAACCUUCAUUGUAUCUUCCACUCAAAGGGUGUUUGAUGAAAAGGCUCUGAGUCUCAAAGAAAGGCUCAGUUGUUUGAAAACUACUGGGUUAAUAUAAAGACUAGCGCUGUGAGGUCAAGAUCAAAAGAUCACUGGGUCAGGGUUGCCCUGCCAAGAGGAAGGUAGCUCUAGUGACAGCGACUCGGUACAACGUUAUUAUCACCAACGAAAUGAAAACAAAAGGCCGGAACUACAGCAGUGAUGUAAUGCACACACUGCACCAGCUCAAAGCGACCAGAGUUCUGACUCUGCUUUCCAGCAGCCUGGCUUCUCAACCUGCCCCUGCUGUCGUCAGCUUCCUGGCUUCCUGCAGAGAGUUCAACAGCCUGAGCGCCUACCCUCUUUCCACACACUGUAGGGUCCCUCUGCGUAACCCUGUCCUGGAACUCAUUCUGUAGACCAAGCUGGCCUUGAACCAGAAGUUCCACCUCCCAAAUGCUGAGAGUAAAGGCAGAUGCCACCACCACCCAACUAUAAUCUUCUUUCACUGAAACACUACAGUGACGGGAUCAAUGUGUCAUCACGGUUUCACACGCCUGUUUCCAGGGAGCAGACGGUGGGGCUGCUGCCCUCUAGGCUGAGAUGUGCUGGGACCUCUUUUCUUCCCACACAUAGGUAACAAUCACCUCGCUUGAUUUCUAGCCAUCUCAGCAUCUGGACCAUUCUGCAGCCAUUGCCUGGCCUCCGCGAUGAUGGUGAGCAAGAGGCAGAGUAGCUAGGGAAAUGUGAGCACCUGUGAGAAUGUUGGCACGUGGGAGAGAACAGAGCCAGUCAGGUGAGCCAUGGCUGUCUGCUCCCUCCAUUACAGUUUUCUUUGUUAAAAGAGGCCUGCGCAGACUUCUUAGAGAGGACACAGAGCCACCGAGCAGAGCAGAAUCUUCACAUUGAGACUUACAGAUUUGAGUUCUGUAAUUAAAUUUUAAGUACAAUUUUUAUGUGUAUGAGGGUUUGGUCUGCAUGCAUGUAUGUGUGCCAUGUGAGUGCCUAGUGUCAGAGAAGGCCAGAAGAAAGUGUUAGAUUUGUUGAAACUGGAGUUACACAUAGUUGUAAGCUACAAUAUAGGUGCAGGGAACCAGACCUGUGUCCUUGUCAAAAGCAGCAAGUGCUCUUAACCAGUGUGCCAUCUCUCUAAUCCUCUUUUGUUAUUGUUGUUCUUGUUUUGUUUUUUGGCUUUUAGAUAAAGUCUCACUCUGCAGCUCAGUUGGCUGGGAACUCAUUAUGU